CCUUAUCACGUUGUUUUGGCGGAGAAUUAAAGCUGCGGCGCGUGGAGCGGCCAUUUCAUCCCCACUCGACGAGAUCCACACCUCUCUCCUCCCACAAGCGAGCGCUUUGCCCCUGGAGAUCCUUGGCGUCCUGGAAGCCAAGGCUCGAGGCGAGGGCAAGGCAGAUAGCCGAUGGAGACAAAGAGAAGAUGGAAAAGCUGAUGGAGAUCAUCUCCUGGUUUGCAGAGGAGCGGGAUCUGAAGGAGGCGGCGGGGUCGGCGUUUAGAAGGCUCACGGAGGCGGAGGAUCUACGCCUCUCCCCGUCGGGCGAACCGGUGGGCGCGCUCAGGAUGCUGCUCUAGGCAAUGGAGGAGGCGGCGUCGGACGACCCCAGGCUGGCCAUGAAGUGGAGGGCGUUCCGAUCGCGCCGCAGCACUCCGAUAGGUCGGUCAGAGUUCGUCGUUGGGGCGGUGAUGGGCCUCCCUGCACCGGUGCCUGUGGAGAAGAUGGAGGUGCAGGCAGAUCCAGAGAGCAGCAAGGCCAAGGGGGGAGCGAAGCCUGGUUCGAAGAGGAAGAAGGCGAAUAUGCCACUGGUGCUAAGGAGAUCGCCACGCUUCCCUCACCGUUCGCUACGCCUGCUCUGCCUCGCCCGUUCCCAGGGACGGGAAUAGGAACCUCACCGACGGGUGGUCGUUUCUGGCUGCUCGCUGGUGAGCACUCCGACGAGGAAACUAGGCCCUCGUUGGAUCUGCAAGGGCAUAUUUCCUUCAUUCCCAAGACUAGUUCAAGUUCUACUUCAUCAAGUACAUCUACAACCCCAAGGAUUCCCAUCAAGUUGAUGUGGAUCCCGAAGAAGAAGAACUAGAAAGUUCUUGAGGGUGACUCCGCCAACAUACUUCACACAUAUUCAUAUUGGAAAGGACAAAUGCAAUCAAUUUCCACAUCUUGCACUAGUUCAAGGAGUCACAAACCCUCUUGUUAGUAAGUCAAGGGACAAGGUAACCUAAUGCUUUCAUGGCCAUCAUCAUGUGUGUACUUUACUCUAUGUCUUUGGACAUCCUUGUUUGUUCCUUGUGGGACUGACCCAUGCAGGUAUUGAAAGUGCAACUCACUCCAAUGGAUUUCUCCAAAUGAUCUACAUCAACAUUGAGCAUCCACAUCUUCAACAUCUACAUGAAGUCAUCAUCGACAAAACCCAAGCUCUGCCGACUCGAGGUCUCCGGAUCGUCUCCGCCGUUGCCAGCGACCUCCUACCGCUGAUCUCCGCCGCCGUCAACAGAAAUCUUCACCGCCAUUGUCGCCAUAGCGAGUUCACCACCAAGUUAAGGGUCAGCUUUCAGCUUUCAGCCAUGUCAGACAACAGUGACAACCAGAACAGGUCUGAGGAACAGGUUCACAUGAGUGAGGGCACUAGUCCCUCUGAUAGCAGCUAUGAUGAUGGGAGCAGAAGCACUCCUAGCAACCUGCUGAUACGUCUCCGUCGUAUCCAUAAUUUUUGAUUGUUCCAUGCCAAUAUUCUUCAACUUUCAUAUACUUUUGGCAACUUUUUAUACUAUUUUUGGGACUAACAUAUUGAUCCAGUGCCCAGUACCAGUUCUUGUUUGUUGCA